GAUUGAAGAACGCAGCGAAAUGCGAUACGUAAUGUGAAUUGCAGAAUUCAGUGAAUCAUCGAGUCUUUGAACGCACAUUGCGCCCCCUGGUAUUCCGGGGGGCAUGCCUGUCCGAGCGUCAUUGCUGCCCUCAAGCACGGCUUGUGUGUUGGGCCUCCGUCCUCCUCCCGGGGGACGGGCCCGAAAGGCAGCGGCGGCACCGCGUCCGGUCCUCGAGCGUAUGGGGCUUCGUCACCCGCUCUUGUAGGCCCGGCCGGCGCUUGCCGACACAUCAAUCUUUUUUCCAGGUUGACCUCGGAUCAGGUAGGGAUACCCGCUGAACUUAAGCAUAUCAAUAAGCGGAGGA
rnacentral:misc_RNA from 1 species